rnacentral:lncRNA from 1 species
UUGUAUAUAAAUUGUUUUCUUCCUCCAUUUGAAUUCAGUAAUCCAACAAGUCACAACUCUGUUUAUGACAAAUUAAACAACCCAGUCAAUACUGAAUAUUGCCAAAAAGCUUUAAAAGAUAAUAUAUUUCGCAGGUUUCUUUUAUAUAUAUUUAUAUAUAUAUAUAUAUAUAUCUCAAAAUUUAUAUAUUUAUAUAUUAUUUACUUUGUAUCAAAUAUGUUUAAAACGCAAAUUAUCGUAUCACAUUUAUAUCCACAAAUCAAUCACAAUAUAUAUAUUUAUUUAUUUAUUUAUUUUUGUUCAACUCGUAUUCAAUUUUUAUUAAAAUUUUAGAUAUUAUCUCUCUUUAUUCUUAUGCUUUCAUUGGUUGCUUGUGUGUUAUUAGUUCCUAACAAGGAAUAAAAGAGAGUUUAGAAACUGGGUGUGGGAACCAAACAAAUUAAUGCCAAUCAAAUGUUGGUUGCUUAUGUACGAGAAUUCUCAUCUUUAAGCAAAAGGUAAAGAUCCCAUUGCUUGAAGGAAGCCUACUAAGAGACUAUAUAUAUUUGCACAAGCAGGAUUACCCUUUUUUUUUUUUUUUUGGCAAGAAUAUUGCCGAAAAUUGACCCACAAAAAGUAAGGCCUGAAGCCAUUAAGGCUCAUAAAAUUAUAAAAAAAAAAAAAAAAGGCUUGAAUAGUGUUGUCCCAAGAUCUGCAAGAUCGUUCUGGACUUAUUCUAAAUCGGUUUCUUGCAAGGCCGAAGACCAAGUGUGCUUACCUUCAGCUGACUCGAGUCUUCUCACCUAGUCCGUGGAUUCCAGAUCACCUUUCUAAUAUACCUUUCUUUAUAUUAACGUCGACAACUAAUUUUAUUCAAUAUGUUUUAUUGUUUUAAUUUAAAUUUAAUUUUGCAAUUGGACUUAAAUCAUCGGUUUUUGAAUCUAUUAUAUGAUUCAUUUUUAAAUGUUUUGGCAUAAAACUCAAUAUAGAUCUUAUAGUAAGGUCUGUUGCAUAAACUCAAAUAAAUACUUAAAAUGGUCUAAUAAAAGGAUCGAUAAAAAAUCCAUCCUUAAAAUCUAUUAAUGAUCUAUUAUUGGCCAUUAAAUAAAAAAUCAAAUUAAAAAAAUUUAAAAAUCAUAAAAUUUAAAACCAAAUAAAAAUAUAAAAAUUAUUAAAAAAUAAUAAAAAAUAAAAAUGGGCUUGGCCCAAAACAAAAUCAUGAGAGCUCAAAUGAAACUAAAAUAAAACAAAUAAAACUAAAAUAAAACAAAUGAAAGUAACCCAAAACUAGCCCAAAAAAAUAAAAGCCCAAGUGGGCCACAAAUGAAAGCUAAUGCCCUAAAGCAUUGGUUUCUUUUUAAAGCCCAAGAUAUGGGCAAGAAAUGGGGCCAUUCUAUUAGCCUUGUUCGGAGGUAAAGCCAUGUAAAAUAGGGAGGAAUCAUGCAUGAAAUUGGCAUGCAUAGGCUAGAACGUGAAGAAAAAAAAUUGAAAGGAAUGGCAUGAGGUGGAAAACGUGUGAAAGCAGUAGCAAAAAACAAUUCCAAAAAAAACAAAAGAGAGGGGAAAGCUUUCAAGGAGAGGCAAAAAGAAAACAAAAAAAAAAAGCAAAACAAAAGAAAAUUGGUAUAAAAGAGAACCAGAGAAAAGGAUACUAGAACAAAAAAAAUGAAAAAAACAAAAAAAAAAAGGCAUUCGUGAGAGGAGAAAUGAGUGGUGUUUAUAAGAAAGGUGGCAAUAGUAGAAAAUAGAGGAGAAAACCAGUAGGAAAAGAAGAGAAAGAAUGCUAGCAACAAAAAAAAAACUGUGUAAAACACCAACAGGAAAGAAAGGGGAAGCAUUCGUUCAAAAAAAUUGAGCAUAAAAUAAAAGAGAAAGCUUGGCCAACGAAGAGCUACAGCAUUUGGGAAAUUUGUUAAAAAGUUAUCCCUUUUGUUUCUCUUCUAAUUUGCUUCCGUCCACAUGAACACUGUUAUCAAUCUCAUGCGAGUUCUCCUUUUAUUGUCUCUGGUUUGGCUAAUAAAAGCUUAAGGUUUCAUGUUUUUUCUAUUCGAUUUGCAAAAGCUUAAAGCUAGGGAUUUAAAUUGCUAUAAAGGUUGCAUUUUUUAUCGCAUCGGGUUUGUUGUGGUUGCGAAUAUAACAGAGACCUUCGCGAUUAUUAUGACUAUCACAAUCAAGAAUUUUUUUUUUAAUUUUGCUCAACUUGCUAUAAAAUAUAAUAAUUUUAAUUGUUAAUCAUAAAACCUUUUAUUUUAUGAUUUUUAAAGUAAUUUAUAUCAUGUCAUGUGUUUUAUCUAUUUAAGAAAAAAUAUUUAUAUUAAAAUAUUCAUAUUUAAAAAAUUACUUAUAUGAUAAUUAGAAAAUAACAAGAGAUAAAUAAGCAUGUGAAAAAUAGAUAACUAUAACUAAUGAUAUAUUUAAUUAUUUAAUUAUCGUACUCAUCAAAUUAUUACCAAACUAUAUUGUGCAUAAAUCAGCGAACAAGUGAUUAGGUAUCUAUAAAUUAAAGCAUCCGUAAAUUAAGCAAAAGUAUUAUUAUUUAUAGGCUAAAAGAAUUACUUUUUAUGGGCCUACAAUAAAUCAAACUUGCCAACCUCCAUGCAGAGAGCAAUCUUUAACAACAAUAGCCUCCAAGUCUACUUCUUUUGCCUCUUGACUAAAUUGCACUGACUCACUCAACAACUUCUCAUCCCUUCACCCUUCAUUCAAUAAUUUUUCUCUCUAGACCUCCAUCUUAAUCCCAUUUCUUUUUUUUUCAGUGUGUGCUCUCUACUUGUCUGCCUCAACCUCAAGUCUUAUUCUCAUCUCUUGUCUCUCAUUUUAAGUCCCAGCAACUCUUACCCCCUUCUAGCAGUGCACUAUAGCCCAAACCAAUCCCAAACACACAAAAUCACUACAAUUUUGGAAAUUUAAAAAAAAAUAAUUUGAGUGUUGAAUUAAUUACUUACCUUAAACUGUAUGUGUUUGAUCUUGAUUGAAGUUGAAUUUAAGAGAAUUGAUAUCUUUAGAAGUCUUAAGUUUUGUAGUUUUUUUUUUUUUUUGCUAAAUUUGUGAAUUGAUGUCUAUUUUCUAACUUGUUGUUUUUGUUUUAAGUUUUAACUAGAGUCAAAUGAAAUUUUUUUUCUUGAAUUUUUGAAUGAAAAAUGUAGUGGGCAAUAGCGAACCGCUAUUACCGCAAUUCAACGUUAUGUCGCAAUUCAUGGCCACGAUACGUUGCUACAGUGAGGAUUCAAAUUCUCUUUCAUUUUUUCUUCAAUAGCGAUGACGGAUGGUGGGGUUACCACAUAAUAGUGGCCGCCAUACCAUUAUCCCACUGCUAUUUAAAUCUAUGCUUAAAGCUUUAUGAUUUUUUUUCAGUUUGGUUGGCAGAAGCUUAAAGCUUCAUUUUUUUUCUUUUCUCUUAUAGGUAGUUUUUUGCAUUAAAGCAUAAAGCUUCAAUCUUUUUAGGUUCACUAGUUUCCUUUUUCUACGUAUAGAUUAUCAUAAACAUAAGUUUUUCCUGUUUUGUUUUUCCUUUACUUUUUUUCCCACAUCGGGCCUGUAUGUGGGAGCUUAAAGCUCCAUCAUUCUCGAGCUUGUUGUUUAGUUGUUUGGGGAAUCCUAAAGUUUCUAUCUUUCCAUGGCUUCUGGCUUGUUUGCUCUAUAUUUGGGUUGUUAAGGGAUGUGGUUUCCUUUGCACGAGGGCUACUUGUGGGGAUGCUUAUAGUUUCACUUUUUCUUUAUAUUAGCAAGUUAGGAAAUCUGGUCAUUUUUCCUUCAUGUGCAUAAAGUUUUAAUGACUAUUAGACCUCCAUUUUCCCAUGUUUUAUAACUUUAACCAAAAGAGAGAAACUUGUAGGGAUAACAUGAAAUUGGCUUUGAAACUAUAUGGUAAGGAAUUCCUAAGCUUUUUUAGAUCAAUUUUUUUUAAAGAAAAACAAAAGUUUUAAAAUAUGCCAAAAUUCUGUAUGAUCUCAAUAAAAUUUAUUUUCAUGUAUGGCUCAUAUCAUUCAAGUCCAUACAUAUUUCUUUUAUGUUGUUUAAAUUUAAUUGCAAUUUAAAUUUCAUGCAUUUUUAAUUUUCAUAUUGGUUAAAUUUCUAUGCUCAUUUUAAUUUUUAUGCAAGUUUCAUGCUUUAAUUUACUUUUGAUACAAUUUAUUUUUCAUACAUUUUAGAUUUAUGCCAAAAAAAAGACUAAAUAAUAAUAAUAAAUAAAUAAUAUAUUUUAUAAGAAAGAAAAAGAUUUUAAAUACUUGCCAAGACGUUAAAGGAAUUACAAAUCGUGUUUUAAAAUUUUAAUUUUGCCUAGAUGUUGAAGAAUUAUUAAAUAAUAAAAAAUUAAAAAAUUAAAAGGAAAAUUAUAAUAAUAAUAAAUUUUAAUGGAAAAAGAAAAUAUAUAAAAAUAUAAAGAUUAAUUUUUUAGAGAAAUUAUGAAAAAUGAGUUUACUCUAAAAAUCUACCUAAAUAUUAAAGAUUUUUAAAGAGGUUCGUAAUAUUUUAAAACCUUGAAAUGAAAUCCUAAACUUAUGUGUAAACCCUAAACCCUAAAAUGAAACCUUAAACCUUAUGUGCAAAACUCAAACACUAAAUGAAAACCCAAACCAUAAAUGAAACUUUGAAACCUUAAAUUCACACAAAGCACCCAAAACUAUCCUAAUUUUUUAAGGAUUUGCAUCAAAACUUCUCAUUAAGUAAUUUAUUCCUGAAUAUCGUCUAGAAGAUGAGGUAUUAAAAAAAUUUUAUUUCAUUAAGAUUUUUCAUAUAGUUCCUUAAUCAAAACAAUAAUAAAAUUAAAUAUAAAUAUAAAUAUAAAUAGAAUUUUAAAUAUAAAUAGUCACAUCCAAACUUUGAUUAGAGGUUGAAGAGUCCAGGUAGCUUUUUUAUAUUUAAAGAUCCAAUCCUAAAGUCAUAUCUUAUUAUCGCUUAUGAGAUAUAUUUGCAUAUAUCACUUUUUGGAUCAAUAUUUGCACUUAUUGCACAUAUAUAUAUUAAUUAUUGAUGUUUAUGGUUAAUUAUAAUAUUUUUCAUUUUUACUGCAUAAAAAGUCUUAAAAAAAAUAAAAUUAAAAUAACAUUCCGAGAAAAAUAAUUUUUGUAUUUUGCCUAGAUGUUGGAGAGUUGCGAACAAUUAUCAUUUGCGAAGGAUAUUAUUUUUAUUUUUUAAAGGAAUGUUGUGAUAAAUCUUAAACAGAAAAGAUUAUCUUUGAAUUCUGUCAAUAUGCUAGAGAAUUAUAAGGCAUUUAUUUAAUUAAAAGAUUUUUGUAAUAUUCUUAAAUAAAGAUUUUUUAUUGAUUUUUUUUCUUCAAAAUGAAAAGAGUUAUUAUUAAAUCUUAAAUAAAAAAACUAUUUUUAUCCAAAAUUAUAGAUAGCUCAUAAUUAAUUGAUACCAAUUUUUAUGGGUGCUGUAGAGGUGCUAAGCUUUCCCCACACAUAAUCAACUCUCAAACCCAAUCCUGUUUUCAAAGACCAAAAUUAUUUUUUUAAUAAAUUUUAAACCCGUUUUAUUGUUUUAUUAAAAAGAUAAAAUUUUUUGGUGGCUAAUCACACCCUAAAAAAGAUUGGUGAUGACUUUCUUUUUUUUAUUUCAAAAUUUUUGCAUCUAGCAAUCGAGUCUCUAGAUCGAUACGUUAUGAUAGUUUAACAACACCACUGGCAUUGUUUUAAGAGUCAGGCCAAAAAAAUUUACUCAUGCACUAUCAAAAGUGUUGGAAUUAAUUCGUUUUAGUCAAUAUUUAAUUUAAGUCCCUCCAUGUUAAUUUCAAACAUAUAUAUAUAAUAUAAAUAAAUAAAUUGCAUGUUAGUUAUUGUCCUAUUUUGAUCUUGUCAUGUUGUUUUGAUUGAUAUAUUACUUCGCACACUUUGCAUAUUUACUUACAUGAAAUAGCUCUAGACCUAGAUUCUUUCCUUAUUUGGAAGAAGUUAAGUAGCUAGCUCUUAUGAGGUGAUUAUCACUGCAUUUACUAGUGAAACACUUUCACUUAAAUUGAAUCCUUUUUUAAUGUAGUUUGUAAUGAGUGAAGAUUGGGUUUCCUUUUUAGGCUAUAAUGAACGAUGAUGUAAGGAUUGAUCUGGGAACCUUUAGAUGAAUAAAUCCCGACCCAACAUAUUGCAAGUCAUAGGAAACCUACCUAAGUAGAGCAUGCCAUCUUUUUAGAAAAUCACCAAAAGUUAGGAUACUUUAUAUAUUCUGUUGUAUUAUAUGGUUGCUAUGUUGUUUCUAUUAUUUGUUUGUUUUGGUACUAAUUUAUUGUAUUUUUAUAGUCUUUAAUUUUGCCACAUACAUCAUAUAGGUAUUACAUUUUAAGAAAGGGUAUUGUUUUGGAUCAAUCACCAAUAAAAGAAGCUCUUAUGAAGCCAUCAGUAGUAUCAACCUCUUGUAGAAAUUAUUUAAAAGUUAAAAUCUAGUCAGAAACCACCGAGGCAAAAGAAAAAGACUACUUAAGGGUUGGUCAUAUCUCUUAACUUCCACAAUUAAUGUAUGUGGAUUUAAGUUAGAGUGAUAUAGUUAAGAUAGAAACCAUAUGGAAGCAGUGGGGAAUAAAGAAAAAAAAAAUCUUUUUCAAAGAAGUAUGGGGAUGUGGCACUGCUCAUGUCGAUGAAGAUUGAUGAUUCACUAAUUAAGGCCACAAUACAGUUUUAGGAUCCAUUUUAUCGAUGCUUUGUGUUCAAUCAACAAGACUUAACACCCACAAUUGAAAAGUACUCAUCCCUACUUCAGAUAAAAUCUACCAUUCAAGAUAAGAUUUACUAGAAGGAGCAGAAAACCCUUGGUUAUAGAAAGAAAUUAUCAAAGAUCAUAUAAAUAGGGGUCGAAGAAAUAGACAAGCAUAAGGAAAAAAAUAGGGUUGCGACAAUUUUAUAAGCAUUUUUGUUAAAGCAUAUAAAGAAACAUCUUAAUGAUGAUCACGGAUUGGAUUUGUUUACCUAGGCUAUGUAUUGGUUGAUGAUAUUCCCUAAGGUAUUAGGACACAUAAAAGCAUCAAUGAUUAACUUUUUCAAGCAAUUGGAUAAAGGUAUAAAUUUUUUGCCACCCAUCUUAGUGGAGACCAUUAGAUCCCUAAACUUUUGUCAAAAAAAUGGUGAAGGACAAUUCAUAGGAUAUGCUUAAUUGCUUUAUGUUAGGAUUUGAAAUCACUUUUAGGGAAAAUAGAAUAUAUCAUUUUAACUUUUCUCCACUUAUUUUGCUUCGAUUAAGAAGUACGUCACCAAGGAAUGGUCAAAGGAUUAGAUGAAAAGACAAUGGAUGACAUUUUUUCUGAAGCUGACUAGUGAGGCCAUAAUAUAGAGAGCACCAUGAAUGCUUCCCAUAGCCAUAUUAUAUAGUUGUGGGGAUGAGCCAUAAGUAUCAUUUCUAGAAAUAAAGGGGCAAUGAGCUAUGCGCAUCUUAUGGUCCAAAGGCAAUAUGAUUCUCUUCAGUUCAUUCCUAUGACUCAUGGACUCAAUUUGCUCGAGUUUGACUAUGGGACACCUAGUUAUAUGAAAAAGGUCCUAAAAGUCAUUAAGGCAUGAAAGCAAAUUAAUAGAAUAAACCCAACUAAAUAUGCAGAUAAUGUCACAGAAAAGUACUUUGUAUAGAGAAUAAAGAAAGUCAAUGAAGUUAGAACUUUGCCAACAAAUGUUGCAGAUCAACUGCCUAUUCCCAAAUCAGAGCUAGUAUUGUCAACUCUUGAGAUCGCCCAUUAAGAGUUUGAGAUUGCCUAUUGAGAGUUUGAGAUUGAAAAGAAAAAAAUGGAGAAAAUGAAUAUGGCAAUGAUAGAUCAAGUCAAUUAAUUAAGGUAUGAUUUGAUGAUGAAAGAUGAUGCAUUAUAAAAGCUAGCCAAAGAACGAAAAGUAUUAAAAAGGGAUUUGUAAUAUCUUCAUCAGAAGAGUAAAAUAUUUAGGUUAGACUAGGCCUUCAAAGGGAUCUAAAAGGGAAGUAGAAGAAUUGAAAAAAAUGGUAGAAUAUUGGAAGCAAAGAGCUAGGGAAAGUAAGAAAACGGUCACUACACUCACUUAAGAGUAGCAAACAUAAAAAGAUAAGUUUUCUGGAGUUUCUGCAAAGGUAGCCAAGUGCCAUGAGAAAAGUGAAAAGCUAAAGGCUAGAUUAAAAAAAGAGCAAAGUAGGAAUUCCAAUUUAUAGAUUGAGAAACAACAUUAGAAUAGGAGUUGAUGAGCUUAGAAUUCCAACUGACCAACACGGAGAUGGGAUUAACAUAGAAGAAUUGAUGUACCCUAUGGGAUUCACCCCACUUUAAGUUUAAGCUUCUUGGGGAAUCUAUUUGGAGCCAUCAAUAGCAUAACCUUAUACUUAUGUCUAUCUAUCUGCUAAUCAACCCUAGAUUCAUGUAAAUGUCAACCAAGGAUUGGGCGCUAUCGAUUUUAUUAUCAUACCAAAUUUAAAUGACCCUGCUAAACAAGAAAAGUUACAUGGCAUGUCUGAGCCAGUAGUGAAUGUUGAGACGUAAAACAAGUAUAACCUACUUGAAGAAAGACUCAGAGCCAUGGACGAAAAUGAUGUUUUUGGGAGUAUGGAUGUGAAUGAACUCAAUUGGUGCCUAACUUGGUCAUCCUAGCAAAAUUCAAGGUUCUUGCCUUUGAGAAAUUUAAUAGAAUGAAAUGUCCUGCUACUCUUAUUAUGAUGUUCUAUCGUAAAAUGGCAAGUCAUACUCAAAAUGACAAACUUUUGAUACACUGUUUUUAAGAUAGUUUAACUAGAUCGAUAGAGAAAUGGUAUGUCUAGUUGGAACAGAGCAGAAUCCAUUUAUGGAAAGACUUGGUUAGAGCUUUCAUGGCUCAGUAUAAACAUGUUAUAAACAUGACCCUAAGUAGGCUAUCAUUACAGAAUAUGAAAAAAAAGUUAACAUAAACUUUUAAGGAAUAUGCACGUUAAUGGAGAGAUACAACGACCUAAGUCCAACCACCACUAAUUGAAAAAGAGAUUAUUAUACUAUUUGUUAGCACAUUAAAGGCCCCAUAUUAUGACAAGCUAGUAGAAAAUGCUACGAAAAAUUUCUCUGAUAUGGUGAUUUUAAGAGAAAUGAUUCAGAAUGUCAUUAAAAUUGGCAAAAUUGAAGGGCCUAAAACUUUCAACAUUAGGAAGCUAGCAAAUCAAUGAAAGAAAGAGUAAGAGUCACAUGCUGUGUCUAUGGGAAAUCCCUCAUUAUACUCAUUUACCCCAUAUAACCCAAGACCAUAAUUCCCCAUUUUUUAUCUGAUCACCAAUUAAGUUAACCCAAACCAUAUCAUUUUCAAGCAUAUUAACAACCACUAUACAAGCAUGACUUUAAUCCAUAACUAGUUAAUUUCACUUCCAUAUUGCCAACUCAGCCAACCAAUUCAAACUAAAAAAACUCACAAAGCAAUAAUAAUCGAUAUGACCCUAUCUUUAUGUCAUACACUAGCUUGUAUUCAUAAUUGGUGAAAGGCCAUCUUUUUUUCUCUGCUUGUGUGGAACCAUUGAAGCCAUCCUACCUGAAAUGGUAUAACCCCAAUGCCAAGUACAGCUAUCAUUUUGGUGUAAUAGAUCAUUCUACUAAGAAUUGCACGACUUUAAAACAUAAGGGGUAGUGAUUGAUAAAUAAAGGUUUGCUAAAUUUCGAUACUACGGCUAAGCCUACUAUUAGUAGAAACCAUCUUAUCAAUCAUAUCGGUGGCCUACUAAUGUAGUGAUGGAUGGGCAAGGGUUGAAAGUGAAGAGAUAAGUUAGUGAGUUGGAAACCUUAAUGAAAAAGGUUUUCAAUUGUCUUAUUAAGACAAGAAUGAUUCAACUUGCAAUUUUUGACAAUGACAGUGUAGAUAAUGAUCAAGAUUAUCAAUUUUAUGAAAGAAAAGAGGGACAUAUAAUCAAGACUACCAAGAAUUUUGGAUGAUAUUGCAACAAUUGAUAAAUAAAGGUGUGAUAAAAUUUUACUUUGAAGAUAAUGUUGGCAAUGUGAGUAUGAUAAAUAACUAUUCAGAAGUGCCCUUCAUUCAAAAGCCUAUCACCAUAUUUGAUGACGAUGAAACAAAGCUAGCUUUGAGAAAAACUGAUGCAUUUCCCUAAAGCACCAUUGACAAUCUAUGUUCUUAGUCCAUUUUCUUACAAGAAUGAUAAGUCAAUCCCAGGGGACUAUAAUUAUGAACUAGAGAUCCAAUAGUCUGGUAAUAGAGCAACUAUAAAGAAUAAAGACUGUGAGCACACCACGAAUAUAACAGGAAUAGAAAGAAUGACUAGGAGUGGCCAUUGUUAUACACUUGAAAUGAUAGAAAUGGUCAAGAAAGGAAAAACAAAAGAAGGAGAAGAGGUCACAAUAAAAGGAGAAUUGAUCCUAUUGUGACAAACCCAAAAGUGCAGUAUAAAAAACCUAUGUCUGAGAAAAAAGUUUACAAAUUUCUUAAGAUUAUCAGGCACAAUGAGUACAAUGUAGUCGACUAAUUUAAUAAGUUGUCAGCUUGUAUUUCAUUAUUGUCACUACUACUUAGCUUUGAACCACAUAAGAAUACCCUUUUGAAAAUGCUUAAUCAGGUUUAUGUUAUGCAUAAUAUUUUUGUUGAAAAUGUGGAUCACAUGGUGGGGAACAUCAUAGCCCUAAAUUUUAUUACUUUUAAUGAUUAUGAAAUACUUCUCGAAGGACAAGGUAGUGUUAAAGCCUUACACGUUAUUGUUAAGUUCAAAACUUAUACCAUGGCCAAGUUUUUUUAUCAAUAAUGGGUCAUCCAUUAAUGUGAUACCUAUGACUAAGCUAUCAAAACUAUCAAUAGACCAAUCCCACAUGAAAAACAACCAUAUGGUGGAAAGGGCAUUUGAUGGGGUAUGGAGAAAAAUGAUCAAUGACAUAGAAAUUCCAUUAUAGAUCGACUUAUGUACCUUUAAUAUCUAGUUUUCAGUUAUAGAUAUUGCACUCUCAUUUAGCUGUUUGCUUGAAAGAUCUUGGAUUCAUACAACGAGAGCUAUACCUCAAUCCCUACAGUAAAAGGUAAAGUAUAUUGUUGAAGGAAAACAAGUUUGUUUGGAUGGAAAAGAAGACCUACUAGUAACCAAAACCUUGACUUCUCUUUAUGUCGAGGUUGUAGAAAAAGCACCCAAGUGCUCAUUUAGAACUUUUGAGAUAAAAAGUGCUACUUAUGUUAGAGAAGGGUCAAAAGAUACUUGUGCUCUGAUUGUCAAAACCAUAGGUACAAUAAUCAAGCAGACCAUUGGCAAAGGUUGGCUAGCUAGACAAGGUUUGGGAGUAGCUUUGCAAAGAAUUAAGAAAACACUAGUCAUAAUUGAAAAUAAGAAGAGGUGGGGUGUAAGUUACAAACUUUCUACUACUAAUAAAAUAAGGAUGAUGAUGGAGAAGAGAAAGAAAACAAUGGCAUGCCUUAAAAGGGCAAUAUUCAGUUUAUAGAGGAAAAAUAUUCCCUUAUCUUUAUGAGACGUUCAGUUUUAAUGGAUAUCUCUAUUGGAUCAUUAGGAGUGAAAAAAGGGAAACCAACUACUAGAAUAAAGGAAGCUUUCUCUCAUCAAAGAAGGUGGAGAGGAUAUGUAAGAAGAGGAUAUGUUCUUUUUUCUUUUUUUAGGAUUAGAAGAUUAAAGAGUGGUGUAUUGUUGUUGUUAUCCUUGGAACAUCUAAACUUAAAAUUCCAAUUACUUCUACACAAAAGCAUAUGGAGGUCAAAUGUAUGGGCUAGUUUUAAAAGUAUCGUAAGUAAAGUGAUAAAUGUAAUACAUUUCACAUAUAACAUCUUACCUAUAUUCUUUUUUUGUUGUUUACGUUUUUCCUUCUUUUACCCAACUUAGCCUAUAUUUCUUUGUGAUUAUACCCAUUUUCAGGUAUUUAAAUAUGAACAUUUUCAUUUAAAAAACUCAAUUUACAUUAGUGAGCUUGAUAAUGAUGUUGACUCUGAAUAUUAUAAUUUGCCUUAUGAUUUGUUAAAUGGAUAAAACAUGAAAAGAAACUUAUAAAACUCCAUCAAAAGACCAUAGAUCUGUUAAAUUUAAGAGAUUAAGAGAAUAAGAUUGAAGUCAAGAUCGAUACUUCACUACUGCUAACGAAAAAGCAGAAGUGAAUAAACUUAUUGCAAAAAUAUGUAGAUAUAUCUACAUGGUCAUAUCAAGAUAUGCUUGGGCUUAGCACGGAUAUUGUUGAACAUAAAUUGCCUUUAAUGCUAGACUACUGACCAAUACAACAAAAGUUGAGAUGUAUGAAGUUAAAGAUAUUGUUGAAAAUAAAAGAAAAGGUAAAAAAAGUAGUUCAAUGCGAGCUUUUUUAAAGUAGAAAAAUACCUAGAAUGGGCGGCCAAUAUAGUCUCAGUUCCCAAAAAAGAUGAGAAACUGAGGAUGUGUGUGGAAUGUUAAGAUUUAAAUAGGGUUAGCCCAAAAGAUAACUUCUCAUUUAUAUAUUGAUACCUUUGUGGGCAAUACUACCAAGCAUUCUACCUUUUUAUUCAUGGAUGGAUUUUUUAGAUAUAAUCAAAACAAAAUUGCCCAAGAAGAUAUGGAGAAAAUCACAUUCGUGAUGAUGUGGGGUACAUUUUGUUAAAAAAAAUCAUGCCCUUUGGGCUAAAAAAUACUGGUAACACGAUGAUAAGAUAUUUUUUUAUGACAUGAUACACUAAAAGAUAAAAAUGUAUGUUGAUGAUAUAAUAGCAAAGUCUCAAGAAGGAGAAAAUCAUGUGGCUAACCUUAGAAAUCUCUUUGAAAGGUUGCAAAAGUAAUAGUUCAAGCUAAAUGUAGCUAAAUGUAUAUUCGGCAUCAACUUGAGAAAAUUGCAAGGGUUCAGAGUCAGUGAAAGGCGCAUUGAGGUAGAACCUAAUAAGAUUCGAGCCAUUCAAAAUUUAGUAGCUCCAUAUAUGCAAACGGAAGUGAGAAGCUUUCUAGAACUAUUGAAUUACAUUUCUAAUUUUAUAUCCUAAAUCACUUCAAAAUGCGACCUAAUCUUUAAGUUGCUGUGUAAAAACAAUCCUAGCACGUGGGAUGAAGAAUGUCAAAAUGCUUUCAAAAGAAUUAAGGAGUAUUGGAUAAGCCCACUAAUGUUGGUACCACCCAUUAUAGAAAGGUUGUUAAUUUUGUAUUUAAAAGUGCAAAAGAAUUUGAUAGGACGUGCAUUAGGGGAAAGAGAUAAAACUGGCAAGAAAUACUAAGCUAUUUAUCACCUGAGCAAAAAGUUUAACGGAGUAUGAAACUAAAUACUCCUAGUUGGAAAAAAUGUGCUACAUGUUUGCGUGACUACCAACAGGCUUAAGCAGUAUAUGCUUAAUCAUACGACCUAGCUUAUAUUAAAGUUAGAUCCUCUUAGGUACAUUUUUUAGAAGUCAUCUCUAUGAGGUAGAAUAUCUAGAUGGCAAGUCAUGCUUUUGGAAUAUGAUAUUAUGUAUGUGUCAUAAAAAUCCAUAAAAUGAGGUGCAAUAGCUUUUUUUUUUAUCGAUAGGGCUACAAAAGACUAUGAACCUAUAAAGUUUGACUUCUGGGUUGAAGAGUUAAUGACAAUCUUCCAAGACAAAGAUGAAAAACCUAUGAAAAAGUUAUGGAAGAUGCUUUUUGAUGGAGUAUCUAAUAUAAUGGGGCAUGAUAUUGGGGCAAUAUUAAUAUCCUCAUAAAGAAAUUAUUACCCUAGCACUGCAAGACUAGAUUUUAAUUGCACAAAUAAUGUAGCUAAAUAUGAGGCAUUUGUCAUGGGAUUACAAAUGGCCAUCGAAAAAAAGAUUGAUAUGUUAGAAGUGUAUGGGGAUUCAACCCCAAUAAUUUACCAACUGAAAUGUGAAUGGGUGACCAGAGACCCUAAAUCGGUGUUAUAUUAAAGGCAUACAACUAAUUUAAUUAAGAAGUUUAAAGAGGUACAAUUGUAACAUAUCUUUUGAGAAGAAAAUUAGAUUACUAAUGCAUUGGCUAUUUUGAUCGCGAUGCUCAAGUUAAAUGCCAAUACAAAAACCUAGCCCAUUAGAGUAUAAAUACAGGAUUCACCAGUCCAUUGUUCAAAUGUUGAAAAAGAAGCAGAUCAUCGGCUUCGAUAUCAUGAUAUUAUAUAGUAUAUUAAGUGUCGAGAAUAUCCUGAGUAGGCCUCAAAGAAUGACAAGAGGAUUAUUUGGAGCUUAACAAUAGGGUUUGUACUCGAUGGAGAAAUCCUGUACAAAAAGAGUCGAGAUCAGAUAUUGCUAAGAUCUGUAGAUGCUCAUGAAGCAAGAAAAAUAUUAUAUGAAGUUUAUGAGAAGAUUUGUGGAACACAUGCCAACGGAUAUAUAAUGGCAAAACAAAUAAUGAAAGUAGGUUAUUACUAGUCUACAUUGGAAAAUGAUUACAUCAAUUAUGCCAACAAGUGCCAAAAGUGUCAAAUUUAUGAAGAUAAAAUUCAUUCCCCUCUGGUCCCACUACACGUGUUGGUACCUCUAUGGCCAUAUUCUAUGUGGAAAAUGGAUGUGAUCAGUCCUAUAACCCCAAAAACUUCAAAUGGGCAUCGUUUCAUCUUCGUGAUAAUUGGUUACUUCACCAAACGGAUGGAAACAACCUCUUAUGCUAGUGUUUUGUGAUCAAUGGUAUGCAAAUUAAAAAAAAAAAGAUAAUAUACUGACAAAGGGUCUUAAAAAGAAUUAUCUCUGAUAACGGUAGCAAUUUUAAUAGUAAAUUGAUGAAAGAUGUGUGAUCACAAUUCAAAAUAAAGCAUUAUCAUUCAGCACCAUAUCGCCUAAAGAUAAAUGGCAUGAUAAAGGCUACAAACAAAAACAUAAAAAGAUAUAUUGAAAAAGAUGAUUGACACAUAUAGGGACUGGCAUUAGAAAUUACUUUUGUUUUUCUUACCUAUAGGACAUCAGUCCAGACUUCAAUAAGAGCUACCCCAUUUUCACUAAUAUAUGGGAUGGAGGCAGUGUUAUCGAUGGACGUAGAAAUUCCUUCUAUAAGAGUUUUGGUGGAAGUGAAAUUGGAUGAGGUAGAUUAGGUUUAAGAUCAUUUUGAACAAUUAAACCUCAUAAAAAAAUAUGCUUUCAGACCUUUGUCGUAGGGAAAUGUAUCAAAAGAUGAUGAUGCUGACGUAUGACAAGAAGUUGCAACCCUGACAUUUUCAUGAAGAAAAAAUGGUUCUAAAGAAGAUCUUGCCAAAUCAAUAAGAUACUAAGAAAAAGUAGGCACUUAAUUAUGAAGGCCCAUAUAUAGCGAAGAAGUCAUUAUUUGGUAGAGCCCUAAUCUUAGCAAAAUUGGAUGGUGAAGAAUUGCCAACUUCAGUAAAUUCUAAUGCUGUAAAGAAAUAUUUCACUUGAGAAAAAAAAGAGAAGAAGAAAAAAAAAUAACAAAAAAAGAGGAUUCGAACUGAAAACUUGCAAAGGGCAAUUUGAACUAAAAAGGGGUUGUUUAAGUUAAAAACUUAAAAAGGGCUUAAAUGAAGAAAAAGUUAGGAAAAAAUUCUUCAAAUCUGAAGCGAAAAAGUACAAAAUGGAUAGAUUAAAGAUAGGGUAAAAAAGAAUAAGUUUAGGGUAAACUUUUAUCAGCUAUAAGUCAUGGGGUAAGGAUUAGUCAUAAGAGUUCAAAUAUAGUAAGAUCGCUAAUGUAAUAAGUUUUUUAAAAAAGAUUUGGUCUAAAUUGACUUAGUUUGUCAAUGUUCAUUAUUUAAAGAAAUGAUAUUUGAUUCCCUGAAUGCCAUUUGAAUUUUUUGAUCCUUUAUGUUUCAAUAAAAUUAUUUUUUCCUUUCCAAACCAAAAUAAAUAUCUCAUCAUUAAUUAAAGUUCAUAUUCAACUUUGAACAUAAAAUCAUUGCAUUUGUCACAGAAAUUGGGGUAAUUAUUGAUAAUGCUUAUAAUAAACCAAUGUGUUGCUCAAAAAGAAGAAUGGAAAGGUAACAAAAGAUAACAAUACAUGAAAGUAAGAAUUAAUUAACUAAUAAGAAGGGUGGAUAAAGAAAGAACUUGGGAAGCUUCUAGAUAAGUAAGGGUCAUAGAAUACAUUUGUCAAAAAAGGAAAAAAAGAAAGAGAAGGAAAGAAAGAAACAAGGCAUGAAAACAAAAUGGGAAAAUAUCCAAAGCAACCUUUACAGUUUGAAAGAGCUGAACUAAUCUUGAACAUUAAAUUAACAUGAUCAAUAAACACAUGCUAUAAAUCCUUGAUUGCCUUUCUAUCAUCCAUAUCCAUUAUAGUAGUCACAUGUGUUACAUACAUUCUUUUAAUAAAUCAUGUUAAAGGUUUUUCAAGAAAAGAGGUUAAAUUGAACCAGAAUGUUUUUUCAAAACAAGGUUUCAUUAGCAUGAGAAAGAAAAUUUGCCCCUAGUCACUUUUAUUUCAUAACUCGUGGUUCAAUCCCGAUCAUCCUUAUUUCUUGACUUGUGAUUCAAUUCUCAGUCAUCUUUAUUUCUUGACUCACAAUUCAAUUCCUCAUCAUCUUUAUCUCUUAACUCAUAGAUUAAUCCCUAAUCAUCCUUAUUUUCUAACUUGCUGUUCAAUUCUCAGCCAUCAUUAUUUUUCAACUUGAGUUUAGUCCCAAUUAUCUUUGUUUAUUGACUUACGACUUAGUCUUGGUCAUUCUUAUUUUCUGACUUAUGGUUUAGUACUUAUUGUUCUUUGUUUCUUGACUUGUGGAUCCGUCUCGAUCAUUUUUAUUUCUCGACUUGCGGUUUAGUCCCAGUCGUUUUUGUUUCUUGACUUGUGAUUCAGUUCUGAUCAUUCUUGUUCCCUAACUUGCAAUUCAAUCCCAAUCUUUCUUAUUUUUUGACCUAUGGCUCAAUCAUGAUCAUCUUUAUUUUCCAAGUGGCUAUUUAGUCCUAAUCAUCCUUUAUUUCUCAACUUACGAUUUAGUCUCAAUCGUUUAUAUGUUUUAAUUUGUUGUUCAAUCCGACCAUUCUUAUUCUCUGAUUUAUAUGUUAAUCCUAAUCAUUUGUCGCCAUUUGUGGAUUAGUCUAGAUCACUUUCAGCUUAGAUAUGAAAAAAAAAAAAAAACUCUCCUUAAGAUGUAGCAUCUGAACAAAUUAGUUGUUAAUGUCUUUGUAUUAUUCUUAAUCCUAAAAAAUAUGCAAAAAGUGAUAGCAAUAGAUAUUUAAUUUUGUUUAAUAUAUUCUAUCUUUGUAAUCCAAGCUAAUUUUUACAAUUAGGCUUAAACCAUCAUUUUUCGAGCCCACUACACUAUCCAUUUUUAAAUGCUCUGGUAUGAGACCCAAUGUUGGUCCCAUAAUGAGGCCCAUUGUAUAGACUCGAAUUAAUACCUAAAUGGCAUAAUAAAAUACCUAAUAAAUGGCAUAUCCUUAAAGUCCAUUAAUGACAUAUAUAUAUAUAAAUUAUUAAAUAAAAACCCAAAUAAAAUAUAUAUAAAAAUUAUUAAAUAAAAAACCAAAUAAAAAUAUAAAAAUUAAUUAUUAAAAAAAAUAAAAAAAGGGCUUGGCCAAAAAUAAAAUCAUGAGAGCCUAAACAAAGCUAAAAUAAAACAAAUGAAAGAAGCCCAAAAGUAACCCAAAAAAAUAAAAGCCCAAUUGGGCCACAAAUCAAGGCUAAGGCCCUAAACCAUUAACUACUCUUUAAAGCCCAAGACAUGGCCAAGAAUUGGGACCAUUCGGUUUAACCUUGUUUGGAGGAAAAGCCAUGUAAAAAAAGAGGAAAAUAAUGGAAAUCAUGCAUGAAAUGGCAUGCAUAAGCUAGUACAUGAAAAAAGCAAAAACUAAAAGGAAUGCCAUGAAGUGGAGAAUGUGGAUGCAUGAAAGCAGUAGUGAAAAACAGUUCCAAGAAAAAGAGAGUGAAGAGCUUUCAAGUAGAGGCAAACAAAAAAAAGCAAAAACAAACGAAAACUGGCAAAAAAAGAGAACCAGAGAAAGGGAUACCGGAACAAAAAAAAAAGAAGCAUUCGUGAGAGGAGAAAGGAGUGGUGUUCAUGAAAAGAGUGGUAGAAGCAAAAAAAAAAAGAGAAAACUAGUAAGAAAAGAAGAGGAAAAAUGCCAGCAGCAAAAAAAAAAAGAUAAAACACCAGUAGCAAAACAAACGGGGAAGCAUUCGUUCGAAAAAAACUAAGCGUUAAACAAAAAAGAAAGCUUGGCCAACGGAGAGCUAUAACUUUUGAAAAGUUUGCUGAAAAGGUAUCUCUUUUGUUUCUCUUCUAAUUCGCUUUCAUGCACAUGAACACUGUUAUCAUUUCCAUGUGCAUUCUUUUUUUAUUGUCUCUGGUUUGGCUGAUAGAAGCUUAAGGCUUCAUGUUUUUUCUAUUCAGUUAGCAAAAGCUUGAAGCUUUAUAGUUUUUCUCUUUUCAGUUUGGUUGGCAGAAGCUUAAAGCUCAUUUUUUUUUCUUUUCUUUUCUUCUGUCAUUAGUUUUUGCAUGGAAGCAUAAAGUUUCAAUUUUUUUAGGUUCUCUGUUUUCCAUUUUCUACAUAUAGAUUAUCAUCGACACAAGUUUUUCCUAUUUUGAUUUUCCUUUCCUUUCUUUCCCGCAUCGGGCUUGUAUAUGAGAGCUUAAAGCUCUAUCAUUCUCUAGCAUUCUAUCUCGUUAUUUGGGGAAUCUUAAAGCUUCCAUCUUUCGGUGGCUUCUGGCUUGUUUGCUCUAUACAUGGGAUGCUAAGGGAUGUGGUUUGCUUUGCACGAGGGUUACUUGUAAGGAAGCUUACUUUAUUUUUCUUUAUAUUUGCAAGUUAGGGAGUCUGGUCCAUUUUCCUUUGUAUGCAUGAAGUUUUAAUGACUAUCAGAGCUUUUUUUUCCCAUGUUUUAUAACUUUAAACAAAAGAGAGAAAGUUGCAGGGGUAACAUGAACUUGGCUUUGAAACUGUAUGGCAGGGAGUCUUAAGUUUUUUUAGAUCGAAUUUUUCUUUUUUCAAUGAAAAACCAAAAUUUUAAAAUAUGCUAGAAACUUGUACGCCCUCAAUAAAGUUUAUUUUCAUGUAUGCUUUAUAUCAUUCAAUUCAUGCAUAUUUCUUUUAUGUUGUUUAAAUUUAAUUACAAUUUAAAUUUCAUGCAUUUUUAAUUUUUAUCUUGGUUAAAUUUUUAUGUUCAUUUUCAUUUUUAUGCAAUUUUCAUGCUAUAAUUUACUUUUGAUAUAAUUCAUUUUUUAUACAUUUUAGAUUUAUGUAAAAAAAAUAAAAAAGACCAAACAAUAAUCAUAAAAAAUAUAUAUUUAAUAAAAAAGAAAAAUAUUUUUAAAUCUCUGCCAAGAUGUUGGAGGUAAUUAAAAAUCAUGUUUUAAAAAUUUAAUCUGGUCUAGAUGUUGAGAAAUUAUUAAAUAAUAAAAAAUAAAAAUAAUAAAAGCUAAAUAAUAAUAAAAUAGUAAAAUUUUAAUGGAAAAAAUAUAUAUAAAAAAUAUAAAAAUAUAAGGAUUCAUUUUAUAGAGAAAUUAUGAAAAAUAAGCUUAUUCCAAAAAUCUACUUAGAUGUUAGAGAUUUUUAGAGAGAUUCAUAAAUUUUUAAAAGCUUAAAAUGAAACCUUAAACCUUAUGUGUAAACCCUAAACCCUAAAAUGAAACCUUAAACCCUAUGUGUAAAACCCAAACCUUAAAUGAAAACCCAAACCAUAAAUGGAAUUCUAAAACCCUAAAUUCACUAAAUGUUCCCAAAACUAUCCUAAUUUUCUAAAGAUUUGUGUGAAAACUUUCCAUAAAGUACUCAAAUACCACCUAAAAGAUAGGGUAUUUAAGAAAUUUUAUUUAAAUAAGAUUUUUCAUAUAAUUUCUCAGUCAAAACAAUAAUAAAAUUAAAUAAAGAAUAAAAAUUAAAAUGGGAUUUUAAAUAUAAAUAGUUGCACCCAAACUCUCCCAAGAGGUUGAAGAGUUCAGGUGAUUUUUUUAUAUUUAAGGACUCGAUCCCAAAGUCACAUCUCAUUAUCGCUUAUGACAUGCAUUUGCAUAUAUCCCUUUUUCUAUCAAUGUUUGCACUCAUUAUGCAUAUAUAUAUUUUAUUUAUUGACAUUUAUAGUUAACUAUAGCAUUUUUCAUUUUUACUGCAUAAAAAGGUUUUCAAAAAUUUGAUUUCAAAAAAAUAAAAUUAAAAAAACAUUUCAAGGAAGAUAAUUUUUAGUACUCUACCUAAAUAUUGGAGAGUUGCCAAUAAUUAUCGUUUGCAAAAAAUAUUUUUUUUAAGGAAUGUUGCAGUAAAUCUUAGACGGCAAUGAUUAUCUUUGAAUUCUGUCUAUAUGUUGGAGAAUUAUAUGAUAUUUUUUUAAUCUAAAGAUUUUCACAAUUGUAUUUAUUGAUUUUCUUUCUUCAAAAUGAAAGGAGUUAUUAUUUAAUCUUAAAUAAAGACCAUUUUUAUCCAAAAUUAUAGAUAAUGCAUGAUUAAUUGAUACCAAUUUUUAUAGGCAUUGUAAGGGUGCUAAACAUUUUCUAUGCAUAACUGACUCUUGAACCUAUUUCUAUUUUCAUAAACCAAAAUUUUCUUUCUAAUAAACUUUAAACUCGUUUUAUUAUUUUAUUAAAAAGAUAAAAUUUUUAGAUAGUCAAUCACACCCUAAAAAAGAUUAUAAUGACUCCCCAUUUUCUUGAUUUCAAAAUUUUUACGUUUAGUGAUCAAGUUUCCAAACCGAUACAUUAUGACAAUCAACAAAAACACUUUUUUAAUCACAUUAUUAAAUACACUUAAUAUUUAAAAUAUAAUUCUCUAUUUCUUCUAAAUACACCUUAUCCUAAUAGUAUCACAUUUCCCUUCAUAUCUUUUUCACUCUCUUUUUCAUUCUCUCACUUUUAAUCCAAAUUCAAUACAAACUUAACCCUAAAACCAUUAAACUAACCCCUAAAUCAUCAGGUUUUUAUUCCAUUUAUUAUAAGAUUUCGAGAUUUUUAUUCAUUAAUUAGGUUGAAAUCAUGCAAAAAUUAAGAUUUUUACGAAAGUUUUUUGGUCCAAAUCAUACUUCUCAAAAAUGGAUUUUGUAGAGUCUUAAACAUUUUAUAGAGUGUAAAUGGGGUGUAAAAUUUUUUUCAUUGAAAUCAUGUUUCUCAUAAAUGAAUUUCGAGAGUUUUAAACAUCAAAGUGUAAAAAUGGUAAAGUUAUAAUUCACUAAAAGAUAAAUUUGGUAUUUUAUAUAUGAGUAUUUUUGGCAAAAAAAUAUUGAAGCAUGAAGAAAAUUUUUCAAAAAUUUUGAAGGCUUCUCAAAAAUGGAUUUCCAACAGCAUUUUAAAGCUCUCAAAACUGGAUUUUCAAAGAUCUUAAAUGUUUGGGUAUAAAAAUGGUAAAAUUACAAUUAACUAAAAAAUAAAAUUAAUAUUUUAUAUAUGAAUAUUUUAAAAAUUUAUAUAUUAAGGUAAGAAGAGAAAUUUGAGUGGUAUAUUUAGAACCACUCUUCUAAUAUGAAUGGGGGAAUUCUGUUUGCACUCUAUUUAUUACUCUAUACACCUCACUUUUAAAUACACCAUAAAUUCAAAACUCAUGAAUUUCCUAUUCCUACUAAAUACACCCCCACUCCCCACUCCCAACUUUUUAUUUUCCAUUCCUACAUUUUCUUUCUUCUUCUCUCUUCAUUUUUCAAUCCAAAAAACAAAAAAAAAAAAAAACCCUAUGUCCAUUAAAUUAACCCCAAAUCACUUGUAAUUUUUAGUUUUUCAGUGAUUAAAGGUAAGAUUCUUACCUUAUUUUUUAUUGAUUUUGGUUGAAUUAUGGUUGAAAUCAUGUGAAUAUAAGUUAGGGUUUGCAAUAGGAUUUAGGAGAAAUGGAGCUUCUUAAAAAUGGAUAUCCAAGAAGCUUUAAAGCUUUCAAAAAUCCUUUUUUUAAAAAAUUAAAAAAUUCUUGGAUAUCCUGUAAGGCUUCUUAGAUAUAUAUUUUUGAAAAUCAUUAAAGCUUCUUGGAAAUGCUUUUCGAAAUAGAUUUUCAAAAAGACUUAAAACUUCUUGAAUAUUCAUUUUUGAAAAGUCUUAAAGUAUUUUGGAUAAAGUUUUUGGAUAUCCAUAUCCACAAACUUUUAUGAACUUUCGAAAGUUGAUUUCUUACCUUUAAUUACUAGAAACCUUACUCAUGCAUAUUCAUGUCCCGAGAGCUAUUCAAGAAUGACUUAAUUAAAAAUAUAUACACUUAUGGACCCAUUUACUUGAUCAUGUGUGCAAAUGAAACUAAAAUGGAUACUCUCAAACAUGCAUGGCCCAAACUUGUUCUUUCUAUUAAGACUCCAAAAAACCAAGAACACCUUUUUUUUUAUUUUCUUGUUUUGCAUGGGCAAAAGGAAAUUCUUGGUUUUUUGGUCUAAAGACAAGAACAUCAUUAUACCUAUGCAUGCUUGAGAACUAAUGGGUCACUUUCAUUUGCACAUAUGAUCAAGUAAGCAUAGGCACAUGACUCAACCCCUCCCACCCAUGCUUGCUUGAAAAAUUGCUCCAAUAUUCCCACAUUUGUAUUAUUUAUUUUAAGAUUAAAUGUAUUUAUUUUAUUUAAAUUAAAAAUAAACAUUAUUAAGAGUUUAUAAUUAAAUAUAUAUUUAAAUAAAAAUUUAUGUAUUUUCAAAAAUAGAUUUUUGAGAAUACAAUGUAAAUCUCAAAAAUGAAAUUUUGAAAAUUAUUUUGUAUUCACGAAAAUUUUGAAAAAUACAAUUGCAAUCUCGAAAAUCCAUUUCUGAGAUUGCAAUAUAAUUCUCCUAUCGUUAAAUUUAAAAGAAAAAGAACGGUUAAUUGUAUAUAAGUAAUUGAGGACAUUUUUGUCAUUUACUAAUGGCUAAAAUUGGUAUUUGCUAUGUGGGUUUUUUGACAGGAAAUUUAGGAGCUAUAUAAAGAAUAUGAGUAGUGCACAUUUAUUGUAUAAAUUUUUUUCAAAGUUUUUAUUUUUUAUUUUUUUCAAACCUAAACCCAACUCGACCUGAUAUUGUAUAAAUCAUACCCGACUAAUUCGACCUAAAAUUAAUAAAAUAUUAUUUUUAAAAUAUAAAAUAUUACUUUUUAAAAAUAAAUAUAUAAUAUAUAUAAUAUAUAUAAAUAAAAAAUUAAAUAAUUAAUUAAAAAAUAAUUUUUAUAUAAUAUCGGAUUGAGUCAGGUCGGGUUUGCCUAAAACACAAAUCCGAUUCGAUCUCGAUUUUUUCUUAACAUUACCCGACCCAAAAUCUAAUUUUCAAAAAAAUAAAAAAUCGACCCUAUGAGAUCGGGUAGGGUCGAAAAUCACCAUAGGCGGGUUGGGCUACCAACCUUAUUUAUACGUUGACAAACACCUGUUUGUAUAGAAAAUGCUUUAAAUAAUUCUUUCAUAUUUUAGGAUUUAUGGUUAAUAUAUUUAUAAAAAAAUUAUUUAAGAUGUUUUUUGUUAAAAAAAAAAAGCUUAAAAAGAUUAUUUUAUGCGUUUUUGUACAAAAAAUGCCUUAAAUAAUUUUUUUUAUAUUUUAGGAUUUAGAGUUAAUAUUUUUAGGGUUUAGGUUAAUUUUUUUAUAAAAGCAUUAUUUAAGGCAUUUUUUAUACAAAAACAUCUUAAAUAAUCAUUUUAUUUUUUAUAAAUGGAUUAUUCAAAGGUUUUUGUAUAAAAAAUACUUUAAAUAAUCUUUUUAUAUUUUAAGGUUUAAGUUUAAUAUUUUUAUAAAAGGAUUAUUUAAAGUGUUUUUUGUACAAAAAUACCUUAAAUAAUCUUUUUAUAAAUAAAAAAAUAAUUAUUAAAUAUUCAUAAUAUAAAAAAAUAAAAAAACUAUUUAAGACGUUUCUGUAUAAAAAUAUUAUUUAAGACAUUUUUAUAUAAAAAAAUACUUUAUGUAGACACUCAUUUUUUAGUAAGCUUCAAAAUAAAUAAUAAAAAAAGAUAAAUAAUAGAUAAAUAGAAGCUAAGUUUCAAUCCUAGUCAAAUGGUAGGAUGAAGACUUUAAAUUUUGAAACUGGGAUCAUUUUUUGAAAAAGAGGGGAUAAAUAGAUGAAAGGAUGGGAAGAUUAUGAUUUUUUAAUCCUCAAACUGACCCUAUUUAAACCAUCAACCGCACACAAAAUAGGGAGAAAGAGGAGGAAACACAUUAGGAACAAACAGAAAAGAAAUAUCAACAAAUCCUAACAAAUUUCAAUAAAUCUUUUUUAUCAAAUUUCCAUACCCCUUACCUAUUAUCACCAACCCAACCAACAUAGACACUCCCAAAAAAAAAACACCCAAUAGUCACUUAGUCAAGCCACCCCAACUUAUUGAACCUAAAAAGUUCGAAGCACAAAAUAUAGCAUAUUUAAGAAUCAUUAGCAAAUAUUAUUUGCACUUGCCAAAUACAUAAAAAAGAAGAGGUAACAAUCACUGGUAACCCAAAUCGACAAUUGGCAAUAAAAAAUUCAACAAACAAAUAGCCAGCAAUCACAUUCCAUUUGUAACACACAAAGGCAAGACUCAAAGUCAGAUUACGUAGUAAAAUUCAAAGGGAAACCAGAAGGAAAGAAAGCAAAUCAGAAGCAAAAUCCCAUUAAGGAAAAAAACUAGUUUUACUUUACCUAAGACCCUUAAAGAUACCGUAGCAGCCGAACCUUACUCCACCAUACCACCAUCAUCCAUCUCCCAUCAGAAUUCACCCAUUGCUAGUAAAGCGCAUCAGUGAAAAUCCAAUAACAGAUCAAGUAAAGUCAGAAACUAAGGGAAAGUCAGAAAUAAGGAUUUUUUAGGUUUCCAAUAAGUACUCUUACCAAGGGUUUUUAGGGCUUUCAAGUCAUCAACAAGGCAACCUAGGAAAAGAGGAAGAACAUGUUGUGGAAUAGUGGCCAAAUGAGUAGCAUCAGGAGAGAUUCAAGCAUUUGAGUCCACGCUCUUAAAAUCUUGAUCUACAUAAAUGGAGACGUUUUUGUGGUAAACUAAAUACACCAUGUGAAAGAAGAGGCCAAAACAAUUUUCUGAGUGAAAUUUGGGCUUGAAUUGUCAUCAAUAACAGUGGUUGAAGGUGACCAGAGGGGCCAACGACGAUAGCGUUUCACCGGGGUUUAAAAACUUGUGGAGUUUCCAACCAACCUUCAUCCCUUCUUAGAAAGAGAGAGAGAGACCGAGUAGAAAUUGUAAAGUGAGGAAAAAACUUGUAAAAUGGAAAAUAAAGUUUAAAGGAAGGCUUUUAUAGCUUCGAUCAAGCGGUGCCAUUUUAACUAAAGAAAAUGGGUUCCUUUUGACCCAUUUCAAGGAUCCAUGCAUCAAAAUUGGGCAAUCCGAUCCAACCGCUUAGCCUGAUCUUCUGCCCAAUCCAGCUCUGUGCCAUUUGAGCU